rnacentral:misc_RNA from 1 species
GAUGAAGAACGUAGCGAAAUGCGAUAAGUAAUGCGAAUUGCAGAAUUCAGUGAAUCAUCGAAUCUUUGAACGCACAUUGCGCCCGCCAGCAUUCUGGCGGGCAUGCCUGUUCGAGCGUCAUUUCAACCCUCGCAGCCCAUCUGGGCAGCGGUGUUGGGGACCGGCACCACCGGCGAAGCCCUUAGGGGCCCAGCCGGCGCCGCCCCCGAAAUACAGUGGCGGUCUCGCUGCAGCCUCCCUUGCGUAGUAGCACACCUCGCACCGGAGCGCAGCGCGGCCACGCCGUAAAACCCCCGACUUUCUGAGUUUGACCUCGAAUCAGGUAGGAAUACCCGCUGAACUUAAGCAUAUCAAUAAGCGGAGGA